AAAUGAAACCCACUUUAAAUAUGCGACAGAUUUCUUGAAAGCUCUGAAAAUUCCUAUGCAGAAAAGACAGUAAAUCAAUUCAGACAUGUAAAAAGAUUGGAUCCCAUAAAGGGUGAGGCAAAGGUGUCCACUGGAAACAGAGACCUUGAACAGCUGACUGCUGCUGUGAAACUAGUAAAAGAAAAAGCAGGAUCUCCAACUAUCUGAGCACAGUGAUAUUCAGAAAAAUGUCGUGCAACCGCAUCUCAAUUCUGACAGAUCCCAGUGGUGUACCACAGGAUCCCUUGGCAGUUGUCUGAGAUGUAAAGCCCGGAGUUGCCUCUGCAAGGGCCCUGCUCUUUGCUCUGCAUCCGUGACAGAGGAUCAUAGAUCUGCAAUUCUCACCAACUUCAGCAUGCCCUGAUUUGAGCUAGGGAAUGCUUCUCCUACUUCUUCCAGAAGUUGAUAUUUAAAAUGGUGGCCACUUGGUCUGAACAAGGACAGAAAUGUGUUUUCCCUCCAUAGCUGUACUGCAUUCAGUCAAUAUGCCUCAGUUCUGUCUAACAUUUAGAUUUUACAGUUGAUGAUAGAGAUGUGUACCUCUUCCUCUUGUUUCUCAGUUGGAAGGCAUGAUGGGAGUGCUGACAUCAGACUGGGAAUUUAGCAGAGGUGCUAAAGCUGCUACUGUAUGAAAAUGAUAAAGCAUCAGGGGAGUGAGUUAGGAAAGAUUAAAAAAUGAUAUAGUCAGGAAGGCUAAACCCUUGAGCUCCCUGAGGAUCUGUGAAGUCUGCCUUUCAAAUACUUUAACGUGAGUAGCGUUUUCUUUUGCUGAAAUGCUACCAGAUCCAGAAGUCUAUUACAGGGUAUAGUUUUCUUAUGUAUAUGUAGCAAAUGCUCCCAAAUACGUCAAACAUGUGAAUGCACUUACUAAACAUAAAAAAUGAGAUGGAUACCUUAAAAGCAUUACAGUGAUAUGUUCUGUUUUCUUCUCCUGACACAAAAAGACAACUCCAUCCCCUCUCAGGAAUACAUCAAAAAGGUUCUAACCAGUCCACAUAGCAUUUUCUGAGUUAGAAAGUUUGAGCUUUAUGUAGCUACAAGAAACCACUGCCCAACUCUGCACGAAGGAAAACUUCCCAAAUUCAUGCAAAAUUGAAAAUUAAUAUUUAAUUUACUCUGCUCUCCUUGAAAGUGUGUGGG